GGGGAACUGAAACAUCUAAGUACCCCGAGGAAAAGAAAUCAACCGAGAUUCCCCCAGUAGCGGCGAGCGAACGGGGAGGAGCCCAGAGCCUGAAUCAGCAUGUGUGUUAGUGGAAGCGUCUGGAAAGGCGCGCGAUACAGGGUGACAGCCCCGUACACAAAAGCGCAUGUGCUGUGAGCUCGAUGAGUAGGGCGGGACACGUGGUAUCCUGUCUGAAUAUGGGGGGACCAUCCUCCAAGGCUAAAUACUCCUGACUGACCGAUAGUGAACCAGUACCGUGAGGGAAAGGCGAAAAGAACCCCGGCGAGGGGAGUGAAAAAGAACCUGAAACCGUGUACGUACAAGCAGUGGGAGCCCCACCACUAAGCCAGUGGUGAACUCCACAUACGCAUCCUUUGCUGAAGGCAAUGGUUAACGGAGCGAAAGCGACGUUCAACCGCAAAACAAGCAGAGGGGGCUUAGUGGUGGGGUGACUGCGUACCUUUUGUAUAAUGGGUCAGCGACUUAUAUUCUGUAGCAAGGUUAACCGUAUAGGGGAGCCGGAGGGAAACCGAGUCUUAAUUGGGCGUUAAGUUGCAGGGUAUAGACCCGAAACCCGGUGAUCUAGCCAUGGGCAGGUUGAAGGUUGGGUAACACUAACUGGAGGACCGAACCGACUAAUGUUGAAAAAUUAGCGGAUGACCUGUGGCUGGGGGUGAAAGGCCAAUCAAACCGGGAGAUAGCUGGUUCUCCCCGAAAGCUAUUUAGGUAGCGCCUCGUGAAUUCAUCUCCGGGGGUAGAGCACUGUUUCGGCUAGGGGGCCAUCCCGGCUUACCAACCCGAUGCAAACUGCGAAUACCGGAGAAUGUUAUCACGGGAGACACACGGCGGGUGCUAACGUCCGUCGUGAAGAGGGAAACAACCCAGACCGCCAGCUAAGGUCCCAAAGUCAUGGUUAAGUGGGAAACGAUGUGGGAAGGCCCAGACAGCCAGGAUGUUGGCUUAGAAGCAGCCAUCAUUUAAAGAAAGCGUAAUAGCUCACUGGUCGAGUCGGCCUGCGCGGAAGAUGUAACGGGGCUAAACCAUGCACCGAAGCUGCGGCAGCGA
rnacentral:rRNA from 1 species